UCCUCCCAUGUCCUUUACCAUUCACACGCAUUUCACAUAAAAUGUAUGAAAGCCUGAGCUGCGUAUCCAGACAGGCGACUUGGAAGCGGUUUCACAAUAGGAAGAAAUUAGUGUCAUCCUGUGAUGCGUCCCUGUUGCGCCGUGACGUUGAUGAUGGCGAGAAAAAUAGUAAUUUCCCCAAAUAGCCCAGGAAAUGUAAACGCUUGGAGUCUUUCUCCCCCUCUCUCUCUCUCUCUCUCUCUCUCUCUCUCUCUCUCUCUCUCUCUCUCUCUCUCUCUCUCUCUCACACGCACUCAUACCACAGCCCGGACACCUGUCUCGUCUAGUUAUGCAAACUGAGGCCGUGUUCGUGCCUGUUAACAUGUAUUGUUCCGCAUACAACCGACCGUUCUGGCUGACCCGAUGACGAGACAAAAAAAAAAAAAAAAAAUUAUAGCAUUAUCUCUCUCUCCUACUGUCUAUUACUUGUUGAUACCAGAUUCUCUUUUCCUUCCUGAAUUUUCUAGUUUAUCUGUACCCACGGUUCAUUAAAGAAAACACUAUACGAAUAGAAAAGUGACUUUUACUCUGGCAUUUACAAUUAUUUUUUACCAACUUUGGCAGAUAUAGAAAAAAAAUAAGACGGUCAUAAUUAUAACUUAUUCUUGACACAGUGCUAGAAUCUAUGAACACACACUGGUGACGAUGAGAACGUUAUGUGAAGGAGAAACUUCGUAAAACUCACUACUGAAGACCAGGGCAUCAGGAUAAACGCUGAAAAAGUCAUUGCUUAUCGCAUCUUCUUUACUGUCAAGUUUUGCUAUUCAUCAUCCUUGCUGACAAUAAGAAAGCUUAGCACCCCACACCCUUCAGCUCAUCUUGGGAAAAAAAAAAAUCUCCCUUCGACACCCAACUGCGAUGUGGAAAUGUAUAUAAGAGAACGCGAAGAGCCGACACCGCUUCACUAUCAACCUGUCUGGCCCCAGACGAGCCAGCCAGUGCGGAGCAUUCAGAAUGAAACUUAUCCAAUGGGUGGUGGCCCUCCUGCUGGCCCUCACGGCGGCGUUUGCUUAUGCCGAUCCCGCCCCCGAAGCACUUGCCGAUCCUGAGCCAACCAAGGGAGGCGGCAGAGGACGACAGGGCUAUGGUCACAGGACCUACCGACCUGUCAUGAUGGUGCGAGGCUACGGCGGUGGUGGCGGCGGCUUCGGGAAGGGCAAAGGAGGAGGAGGCCUAAGCAAAGGAGGCGGUGGUUUCAGAGGAGGAAAAGGAGGCGGCUACGGAGGAGGAGGAGGAGGAGGAGGCUACGGAGGAGGAGGAAAGGGUAAAGGAGGAGGAGGAGGAGGAGGAGUUCGCUAUAUUAUUAUUAGAGGGGGAGGAGGAGGAGGAGGAGGAGGUAAAGGGAAAGGUGGAAGCUUUGGUGGAGGUGGUAAAGGUGGUGGUAUUCGACUUGGAGGUGGAAAGGGCAAAGGCGGAGGAAGAAGAGGAGGAUACGGAGGAGGAUUUGGAGGUGGGAAAGGUAAGGGUGGAGGACAACGAGGUGGAUAUGGAGGGGGCAAAGGUGGCGGAGGAAAGGGUGGAUUCGGAGGAGGCAAGGGUGGCGGAGGAUUCAGAGGUGGAUUUGGAGGCGGAAAAGGAGGAAGACGCGGAGGUGGAAAGGGGAAGGGUGGAGGAGGUUUCCGGGGUGGGUAUAUGAUGAGCAGCUACGGAAGUCGAGGACACGGGUGGUGAAAGGCUACUGGUUGCCGAGUUGGAGCCUUGCCUUUCCCACCAGAACACUCCUCCAGCCGCUCCAGACCUCCCUCAUUACUCUUACCUCCAGCUCUUAGCAUAUCCUCCAUUCAACGUCUACCUCAUCCGAGUUUCAUUUUCUCAGGGCCUCCUUCACCCGGAAAUGCUCCUCAUCAGAAAUUUUCUCUCCAGUAGGUCCUCACACGUGUCCUUCACCUGUUACUUACUUCCCCCAAUGACUCCUUCACUGAAUGCUUAAUAUAUAUAUAUAUAUAUAUAUAUAUAUAUAUAUAUAUAUAUAUAUAUAUAUAUAUAUAUAUAUAUAUAUAUAUAUAUAUAUAUAUAUAUAUAUAUAUAUAUAUAUAUAUAUAUAUUUACAUAUUUCUUACAUCAUAAGCACUCAUGCACCACAUAGUGAGGCACUCACCACGUGGUGCAUUCCGCCUGUCCUUACCAGCUAGAAGUUGCAAUUCAAAUGCCCACUGUGUUCUGUGUUCUGUGUUUCCAUUAAGUUUUAUGUGUACAAACCCUAUGUUUACAUUAAAUAGUGAUAGUGAAAUGUG